rnacentral:tRNA from 1 species
GGAGAGGUGGCCGAGUGGUUGAAGGCGCACGCUUGGAAAGCGUGUGUGCCCGGAAGGGUACCGAGGGUUCGAAUCCCUCCCUCUCCGCCA